rnacentral:lncRNA from 10 species
UGCUCGACAAAGGUGUCAUCAUUAACGUACGUACCUCUUGGCUGCGAUUUCCCGACUUCGCGACCUGGGCUGGUGACAUCAGCAGGUGUGAAGGCAGAUGUCGUCCUGCCAGAAACUGAGCGAGGGGAGGAGGGGGGAAGGUGCCACCAGCUUACACCCUUCUUUUUCUUGGUGUUACAUGAGUAUUGGAUAAAGGAGCCCACGCCAAUAUGCACAGAGAAUUUUCUGCAGAGGGACGUGUGCUGCUGUGAGACCUUUACCAGGUGUUAAUGUGGAUCAACUGAGUCUUUUCCUUCCCAAGUCUCAUCCAGCCUUGCCUCUUCUCUGGGAGGUCACAUGUCAUUUGGAGGCAGAUGGGGGCUCCUUGUCCUAAUGAGACAUAGGCAUCCUUUGACUUGUGAAUUUCAUGCUGUGGAGCCUUGUCACAGUGUGGGGGAAUUUCAUUAUUCAUGCAGUCAAAAAGACUCGAUCUGCAUCUUGACUCUGCCACAUACCUCCUCCAGACUGUGGGCAAACUGUGUAUCCUUCCUGAACCUCAGUCUUCUUAUCUACAAAAUAGGAAUGAUAGUUUCUGCCUGAAAGGGUUCUUGGAAGGAGCAAACAGAAGAUAUAUAUAGAGCACCUGGCACAGUGCCCGGCAGAGGGUGGGUUUGUAGAUUCCCUCUGUAACUUCUCAGCCUUGUUUGCACACUGGCUUUUUUGUCCUGCUGGCUUCCUGGCCUCUGCUUCGUGGCCUUGCGACUUCAUGCUUAAGCACGGAGCAGGGUUGGAAGGAAGAAACAUGGAGUAGUGGCCCCUGACUGGAAGCUUCUUCGGACAGGUGUACAACCCUUCCAGAGCCCCUGUAGUUGCUGCCACUGUCACUGCUGCUGCUGCAACCUCAAGAUAAGGAUCACACUGCCCAAGUUCAGCCUGCUGUCUGGGUGUCAGCCUGGAGCCCAGGCAGCACGGUGGCCAUUCAUUGCUGCUUGUCAGAGAAGAAUGCAGCUAUCUUCUUUCCUGCGUGUGCUGGCAGCCGUCUGGGUGGCAUUAGUAACCCAGCCACCCCGUGGGCCUUCUCCACUUCAGCUCAGGUCUUUGCUGAGAGCCUGAGUUGUAGACGGAGGCUGUGAAUGCGGGCUUGGUGAAGUGGGCUGAGCACGCCAGCAGAUGGGUGGGCGAUGGGCUUCAGCAGUGUCCCACUGCUGACUGUCAGUCUGGGAGUGGUGGCGUCCCCUUCUUCCCUCUGCCUCACAGAAGUUGCCUCCUGAAGUUGCCGCCUUAGUCUGAAACUGGGGGGUGCAGGGGUGUAGGGGUAGCGGGCAGCUUUGCAGAGGAGAGGUUAGGCAGGCAGGCAAAGCUUGAUGGGUUUUGUGUUUUGCAGAGCACCGUGGCCUCCUGGGAUGCUAAGGUCACCCUCAGGUCAUCCCAGGUGUUUGCUCAUGGCAACUCGCUUCCCUGGCGGUUGUCAAAGCCCCUCCAGGCCCAUGCUUGUCUUCACCAAGGCCUUUCUUUCUCCUUCAGAGGCCCCUGGGAGCAGCUCCUGAGCUGGUGCUGAGGAGCCUCAAGGUACAAGAUGGGAAAGAAAUUGGAGGCCACAGGCUGGACACCUGAUUGGAACAAGAGCUAUAGCCUGAGCGUCCAGGUGUCCAGCCAAGUUCCCAACCCAUCUUCCCUGAGCCGCUUAAAUUUACAUUGUUCUCUUGCUCCCUGGAGGAAUGGCAAGUUUUCUGUUUUCCUCUCCCUACAUGGAUCCAUAUCUUCCUAUAGCCACACAGAAGGUGCCAAGUAAAUGUUUGUUGAAUGAAUGACUGACCUCUGGACAAGAGGUUUUCCUGCUUCCCCAUUGAUUCCAGCUGAUCUCUGGGCUUCUUUCCAUGGCUACCGAAGGAAGAGUAAAGUUUCUCUUCAAGCAGCCGUGCCUCUGGGCUCUCAGCUGUGCCCAUCUUUCUCUUCCCCACAGGGAGGAUGUCCCAUCCCAGAGCCUCCCUGGGCCCCUGCCUCUGCUGGCCCAUACGUGUGUGGGCUGGGAUUCUGUCCUCCUGUCCUUGUCCUCAUCUGCUCCCUAUGGUUUUGCUCCUUCUUCCAUCCCCCCACUCAUCUGGGACCCUCCAGCCACUAAGAGACUCCACAGCAGCCCUAGGCCAGCUCUAGCCUAGUGUCUUCCCUUUGCUAGGUCCCCACUCUCCUGCAUGAGGCGUCCACGCCAGGCACUGUCUUCACUGUGUAAUGUCACCCACUCCAUCUUAGGGAUGCUUGGGUCAUAUUUUGAAGGGGGGGUGUUUGAGACCUCUCCCUUCUCUCUUCCCCCAUCUCACCUCCACGCCUUCGGAGAGAGAAGUGAUCAUGUGACCGCGGAAACAGGGAUCAGAAAGGAAAUCAAAUAACAGGAAUUCCAUCCUGGACACUGGGGCCUGACAAAGAGCUCUUGGACCAGUGCUGGAUGCAAUUUGGGCGGUUUGGUUUGAAUGGGGGAAAUAUGAGUUUCCAGAACAGGGUAUUUGAAAUCAUGGCUACUCAGAAAAUUGAGGCAGUGGUCACUCUGGCUGUAAAUGCGGCACUCUGUGAUUGUCAAGACCUUUGUAAUUGAGGGUGCCUUGGCUGGGUCCAGGAUAUACUUCAUCAUAAGCCAUAUCUGGAGCCAGCAUGAAUUACAGGGGACAGGAAUUCCCAUUCAUCGGUCACUUCCCACAUGGGGCUAGGGAUUUCGUGUGUACACUCAUUCCAUCUUCUCAUGUGGCUCUGUGAAGUAGGUUUUGAUAUUCCCUUUUUACAGAUGAGAGAGUGGAGACUCUGAAAAGUUAAAUAACUGGCCCAGAUUUAGUUAGUAAACAGCAGAGGUGGACUUUGACCCGUUGCUCUCACUGGCCCCAAAGCCUGUGUUCAUGUUACACACUGGUCCCCUCCCACUCCAGGUGUCUGUACUUUUUGUGUCACCUUUGAGAAAGGUGGUCUUUUAGUUUCUUUAGCCACACGGUGAGCAGCUUGGACUCUGGGGAUACACUAAACUUGCCAGCUCUCUUCAAUCCUCACAUCCUGUGUUUCAUUGCUAGUGUCCCUCCAGGAUGGAUAUUCCAGUCCUCGCAGCUCAGGGCUCUGCACUCCCCAUGAAAGAAGCAUAACAAUUAGCACCAAAAGCAAGCUACUGGGGAGGCUGAGGCAGGAGAAUUGCUUGAACCUGGGAGGCGGAGGUUGCAGUGAGCCAAAAUCACACCAUUGCUCUCUAACCUGGGAGACAAGAGCGAAACUCCAUCUC